UACGGAGGGAGCUAGCGUUGUUCGGAAUCACUGGGCUUAAAGCGCGUGUAGGCGGGAGGGCACGUCCGUCGCUGAAAUCCCCCGGCUCAACCGGGGAACGGGCGCGGAUACGACCUUCCUGGAGGGGCGUAGGGGGACCUGGAACUUCCGGUGGAGCGGUGAAAUGCGUUGAGAUCGGAAGGAACGCCCGUGGCGAAAGCGAGGUCCUGGACGCCUACUGACGCUGAGACGCGAAAGCCAGGGGAGCGAACGGG
rnacentral:rRNA from 1 species